rnacentral:lncRNA from 1 species
CAAAGUUCGGACGUCCAAAUGGUAUGUUCCGCAUUCGGAUUCCAUCCUGCAAAUCCAUAUUGUCGAUAUUUACCAGUGAAGAUAGGAUCUAGAUAUGAAUUUAUAGGAUCUGGUAGAAAUCUAUUCAGCAAUGGAGAUCUUGAAUAUUUCGCAGAAGUAAUCAGUAGGCUAACGUCACGUCAUAAGCUCACCUGGCUGUAUGGUCAUGGUCAGGUAGCAUCAAUGUUUUGGAUCACCUGAAUCCUGGAGGAACAUCUUCUCGGUACCAAGGUCGGGCGACUUUUCCAGUGCGUAUUGCGGUAGCAGUUUAAGCACAAAAGGGAUGGAGAUUGCUGUUGCGGUACGAGAAUCCAUCCUCGCUAAGACCAGAAAAUCUCACAUCAAUAAAGCAAACCAACUAAACUUGAGCUUCUGGGCAUAAAAGGUGAAGCCCAAACUAAUGGAAAUUAAAGCUAUCUAUCAUCAAAAUUUAUCUUGAUCACAACAUACUAUCCGUGAAUGCGAGCAAGAUAGUCUGUAUAUCUUCUGCUAGAUAUAAAGUUAAUUUUCAGUCUAUUUCGAGUUGGAAGUGUUUUGGAAGGUCGGUAUUUUGACCAUUGGUAAAUUGACCAAAG